GACGAACGCUGGCGGCGUGCCUAAUACAUGCAAGUCGAGCGGACCGAACAGGAGCUUGCUCUUGUUCGGUUAGCGGCGGACGGGUGAGUAACACGUGGGUAACCUGCCCGUAAGACCGGGAUAACUCCGGGAAACCGGAGCUAAUACCGGAUAACACCGAAGACCGCAUGGUCUUUGGUUGAAAGGCGGCUUCGGCUGCCACUUACGGAUGGGCCCGCGGCGCAUUAGCUAGUUGGUGAGGUAACGGCUCACCAAGGCGACGAUGCGUAGCCGGCCUGAGAGGGUGACCGGCCACACUGGGACUGAGACACGGCCCAGACUCCUACGGGAGGCAGCAGUAGGGAAUCUUCCGCAAUGGACGAGAGUCUGACGGAGCGACGCCGCGUGAGCGAAGAAGGGCUUCGGAUCGUAAAGCUCUGUUGUUAGGGAAGAAGAAGCGUCGUUCGAACAGGGCGGCGCGGUGACGGUACCUAAAGAGAAAGCCCCGGCUAACUACGUG
rnacentral:rRNA from 1 species